rnacentral:rRNA from 1 species
AUCUACAGCCACGCCACCAUGAACAAACCUGAUCCCGUCUGAUCGUGGAAGCUAAGCAGGGUCAGGCCUGGUUAGCACUUGGAUGGGAGACCACCUAGGAAGACCAGGUGCUGUAGGCA